CAGUCAUGGCUGACUCUUCGUCACCUUGUUUGGGGUUUACUUGGCAAAGAUAUUGAAGUGGUUUGCCAUUUCUUUCUCCACUUCAUUUUACAGAUGAAGAACUGAAGCAAACAGAUUAAAGUGAUUCCAAAGAUGCAGAACUGAGACAAAAGAGGGUUAAGGGACCUGCCCAGGGUCACAGAGUAAAUGUCUAAGGGGAAUCUCAACAAAUCCAACCUCCUUUCAUCUAUACUGUGUGUUGCUUCUUUGCUUCCUCUCAACAUACCAUGUUUUUUCAUCUGAACCUAUGAUUUCGUACAGGAAGGGAAUUCUCAAUGUGGAAAUUGCCUAUGCCAAGGGCAAAGAGACUAUCUGCCAUUUAGGCUUGGAGUGUUAUCUAGGGCACUGAAAUGUUGAACAACUCAUUUACAGUCCCAUAGCUAAUAUGUGUCAGACAAGAAUUGAACUCCAGGUUUUCCAGAGUCCAACGCUAACCCUCCAUCUGCUGAGCUACAUCAGUUCUUCAUUGCUCUUCACACAAAAAAUUUCAGGCAUCCCAGCAAGCUGACCUAAGAAAAAUGAUGCUUAUUUACUGUAGACCCAAAGAUAUUUCCUCAUGCUUCUAUUAUAAAGAUCCAAGUUUAUCCUUGAUUCAGUAUAGGAAUCUAUACUCUAGGAAGAGGAGGGAGGUCAGACUAGCAUAUGUGGACUCUUAACAGCCUCAACCAUGCUGAAUAUGGUUCACUUCACAAACAGAAAUAUGGUAGGUCUGAUGGUUUCUCACCAGUACUGCCUUUGAGCUUGGUAGAAAGUCUGACCAGAAUUUCCAUUUAGCCCCUCUCCAAUUGGUCUUUUGGUAGGCUAGCAAAGGGGAAUUCAAAAAAGAGAUGUACGAAUGUAUUUAUUCUUCAUGCAGCACAUGGAGGCUUCCCAUUUAAAUGGUUUUUCUUCUUCAUCUGUGCUAUAUGCAAGAAAUUUCGAUGUUUUUUAGAAGUCUGCAUAAUCUUCAUUUGGGACUUCAGCUAUACUUUCAACCAUGAAGAGGUCAAAAUAUUUUUCAAAGUAAUUGAGAAAAGGAAGUACAUUUUCCUGAAAAAUUUAAAAGGAGCUUCCUCCUCGACUUUUGCAUUAUAUGGAUUUGACAUUCUCAAAUGUGCCACAACCUUUUUUCGGGUUAAUAGAAAAUAUGUUUUUAGCAAACUUUAUUGACUAGCUUUCUAGUUCAUGAACAGAUGGCACCUGUAUUUUUAGCUGCUUCUAAUUCUCCGCCUUCCCCAGACUCUAAAAUCUGGGCUCAUUGCCCACCUAUCAUGCCCCUGUGAAACCACUUACCUCCUCCUUGCUUUGUAGCAACCACCACUAUUGACAUCUCCUUGGUGCACAACAUGGCAAUUAUGACGUAUUUUAUGGAAGUCCUUUGUAAGAAUUUUCAACAAUCCAAGUGUUUUAAAUGUUAUGCAGAAAGCAUGCUUUAUCAGAAGCAUAGGAACAGAAGGUAUUAGUGCUUCAGCAGACUUGAGAUCCAGAUAAAUUCUUCUAAGGAAAUAAAUAUUUACAGGGGUUUUGAGGGGAAUAGCAACAAAACUUUAAAUAGGACCCCUUAGAGUUAAUGUUUUCAAUGAGAUGGUGAUAUUAUUUGAUAAAUUGUAUCUCCUAUAGGAAUAUGAAAAACUCAUUGACCCCCCCCCCCGUAAUUUAGGAUUCAUUUUAACCUUUGCUUCUACAAAUUUGCUCCUUGAGGGCAGAGAUUGUUUUCAUUUUUGUUCAUGUAUUUUCAAUGCCUGCUCCAGAGCAAGAAUAAAUCCUUUUUUAAUUGAAUUGAUAGCUAAACAAAAGGGUUUUUGUUAUUAAACCUUCUCUCCAUAAUUCAAAAUCAAGGGUUCAAAAUAAACUGUAAUAAAAAGAUGAAACUAUUGUUUAGCAUGUUAUGUAUCCAUGUCUCUAACAUUUAUUUUUUUCCCUAUGGAGAUAUUUAUUUGUUAUCAAAGAGAGAGAGCAGCUUCAUUUGUCUAAAACUUCAUAAACCUGAUUUCCAAUAGCCUAAUGGUCUUCAAAUCUCUUAUACUAUUACACUUCACCAGAGUUAUGAGCAAGCUGAGAUCUUUA